rnacentral:rRNA from 1 species
CCUACGGGAGGCUGCAGUGGGGAAUAUUGGGCAAUGGGCGCAAGCCUGACCCAGCAACGCCGCGUGAAGGAAGAAGGCUUUCCGGUUGUAAACUUCUUUUAUGAGGGACGAAACACAUGACGGUACCUCAUGAAUAAGCCACUGCUAACUACGUGCCAGCAGCCGCGGUAAUACGUAGGUGGCAAGCGUUAUCCGGAUUUACUGGGUGUAAAGGGCGUGUAGGCGGGACUGGAAGUCAGAUGUGAAAAUUAGGGGCUCAACCCAGAAACUGCAUUUGAAACUGUAGUUCUUGAGUGAUGGAGAGGAAGGCGGAAUUCCGGGUGUAGCGGUGAAAUGCGUAGAUAUACGGAGGAACACCAGUGGCGAAGGCGGCCUGCUGGACAGUAACUGACGCUGAGGCGCGAAAGCGUGGGGAGCAAACAGGAUUAGAUACCCCAGUAGUC